UUCACAUUCUUUUCUACUGCUCUGCAGUCUAUAUUCACGCUAAACUAGAUAUUUUUACAACUGCUUUUAAUUUCUCUCAGAGGCUAGGCCACUAAAAAGUUGAUGUUAUGAGGACACCAAACAGAAAGAAUUAAGGUGGUAAAAUGAACUGCAGAUUAAAAUAUAAGCAUUUUCAAUAGCAGCAAAAUGAAGAAUAAUAUUCUUCUUCACCACCUGCCAACAAAGACGUACCUGCAUCUGCACGAGAAGUUCCG
rnacentral:misc_RNA from 1 species